rnacentral:rRNA from 1 species
UAAGCAUAUCAAUAAGCGGAGGAAAAGAAACCAACAGGGAUUGCCCCAGUAACGGCGAGUGAAGCGGCAACAGCUCAAAUUUGAAAUCUGGGGUCCCUAGCGGGGCCCCCGAGUUGUAAUUUGCAGAGGGUGUCUCGGGGGGAGGACCGGUCCAAGUGCCUUGGAACAGGCUACCGUAGAGGGUGAGAGUCCCGUACGGCCGGCGCCACCCCCCGUGUGAGGCCCCUUCGACGAGUCGAGUUGUUUGGGAAUGCAGCUCUAAGCGGGUGGUAAAUUCCAUCUAAAGCUAAAUAUCUGCCAGAGACCGAUAGCGCACAAGUAGAGUGAUCGAAAGAUGAAAAGCACUUUGGAAAGAGAGUCAAAAGUACGUGAAAUUGUUGAAAGGGAAGCGCAUGGGGCCAGCCGUGGCCGCGGGUGUUCCGGGUGCCUUCUGGCGCUCGUACUCUCCCGCGGUCAGGCCAGCAUCGGCUCUGGGGGUCGCACAAAGGCGCCGGGAUCGUAGCAGCCUCGUGCUGCGUGACAGCCCGGCGUGCAAUGCGGCCAUCCGGGGUCGAGGACCGCGCUUCGGCGAGGAUGCUGGCGCAAUGGCCCUCUGCGGCCCGUCUUGAAACACGGACCGAGGAGUCUAACAUCUAUGCGAGUGCUUGGGUGUCAAAGCCCGGGCGCGCAAUGAAGGUGAACGCAGGCGGGAGCCCUCGGGCGCACCGUCGACCGAUCCUGACGUCUUCUGAAGGAUUUGAGUAAGAGCAUAGCUGUUGGGACCCGAAAGAUGGUGAACUAUGCGUGAAUAGGGUGAAGCCAGAGGAAACUCUGGUGGAGGCUCGCAGCGGUUCUGACGUGCAAAUCGAUCGUCAAAUUUGCGUAUAGGGGCGAAAGACUAAUCGAACCAUCUAGUAGCUGGUUCCUGCCGA